rnacentral:lncRNA from 1 species
UACUACAGAAGACUGUUGUAUCCAAUGGAAAAUAUCAAUAAAUCCAGAAGACCGAAACAGUAAGAGUGAAAUACAAAGAUCAGACUAAAAAUAGUAUCAUACUACCUAUAAUCACCAGGCAUGCUAACCUGAAAUAAAACCUGAUGAUGGAAUUGUAAUUCCGAAAACGUUUGUUUUGAUGUAGUCCUGUUUAGGGAUUUUAUAAAUAUAUACCUUUUGCAAACAAAUUUAACCAUUUUUUUGUGAUUCACAUACGCAAAAGAAGAAUCUACAACUCAGGCUCAGUAUGUUAAGCUCGUCAGUUUUACUACACAUUUAGAACUUCUAAAGACUGAAACAUGCAAUCCAUGAAUACGUCCACAGGUAUGAUGGCAGCAAAAACAAAUUAGAACAGUCAGUAAAUAUCGCCUUAGCCGAUUGUGAGGCAAUAUAAUAGUUCAGAGCAGAAGAAAUGUCAUUACUUAUACUCAAGAGGCCAUAAACAUACGAAGCAAU